rnacentral:rRNA from 1 species
GAUGCAGCCAUCCCGCGUGCCGGAUGACGGCCCUCUGGUUUGUAAACUGCUUUUAUAUGGAAAAGAAACCUCGGGAUUAUCUUGAGCUGACGGUACCCUACGAAUAAGCACCGGCUAACUCCCUGCCACCCCCCGCGGUAUUACGAAUGGUGCCAGCGUUAUCCCUAUUCACUGGGUUUAAAGGUCGCGCGUGUGGAAUUUUAGGUCACCGCUGAAAUCUUUCCCCUCACCCGAGAAACUGCCAUUGAUACUGGGAUUCUUGAAUAUAAUUGAGGUGGGCGGAAUUUGCCAUGUUGCGGUGAAAUGCCUAGAUAUGCCGCGGAACACCAAUUGCUUACGCAGCUCACUAAACUAUUAUUGACACUCAUGCACGAAUGCGUGAGGAUCGAACAGGAUUACAUACCCUGUUAGUCCACGCCCUAAACGAUGUUUACUCAUCAUUGCGGAUAUACUGUCACUGACUAAGCGACACCAGUAGGUAAACCACCUGGGAAGUACAUUCGCAAGAAUGAACCGCAGAGGAAUUGACGG